rnacentral:rRNA from 1 species
AUUGAACGCUGGCGGCAGGCCUAACACAUGCAAGUCGGGCGAGCGGCGGACGGGCGAGUAAUGUAUGUGGACUGCCUGAUGGAGGGGGAUAACUACUGGAAAAGGUAGCUAAUACCGCAUACCAUCAUAUAACUCAUAUGGGAUUAGCUAGUAGGUGAGGUAACGGCUCACCUAGGCGACGAUCCCGAGCGGGUCUGCGAGGAUGAUCGGCCACAUUGGGACUGAGACAGGCCCCAGACGCCUACGGAGGCAGCAGGGGGGAAUGUUGCGCAAUGGGCGAAAGCCUGAUGAAGCCAGGCCGGGUGUGUGAAGAAGGCCUUGGGGUUGUAAAGUUCUUUCAGUAGGGAGGCGUUACCGAAAGAAAAAGCCCCGGCUAACUACGUGCCAGCAGCCGCGGUAAUAC